rnacentral:rRNA from 1 species
ACGGGGCCCGCACAAGCGGAGGAGCAUGUGGUUUAAUUCGAUGAUACGCGAGGAACCUUACCGUGGGCUCGAACGUAAGAUGACUGUAGGUGAAAGCUUACAUCUCUUCGGAGCUAUUUUACGAGGUGCUGCAUGGUUGUCGUCAGCUCGUGCCGUGAGGUGUCGGGUUAAGUCCCAUAACGAGCGCAACCCCUACCUUUAGUUGCCAUCAGGUAAUGCUGGGGACUCUAAAGGAACUGCCUACGCAAGUAGUGAGGAAGGCGGGGAUGACGUCAAAUCAGCACGGCCCUUACGGCCUGGGCUACACACGUGCUACAAUGGUCGGUACAAAGGGUUGCCAAGCCGCGAGGUGGAGCUAAUCCCAUAAAACCGAUCGUAGUCCGGAUCGCAGUCUGCAACUCGACUGCGUGAAGUCGGAAUCGCUAGUAAUCGUGGAUCAGCCAAGCCGCGGUGAAUACGUUCCCGGGCCUU